rnacentral:rRNA from 1 species
AACGAACGCUGGCGGCAGGCCUAACACAUGCAAGUCGAGCGAAGUCUUCGGACUUAGCGGCGGACGGGUGAGUAACGCGUGGGAACGUACCCUUUGGUACGGAAUAGCCCCGGGAAACUGGGAGUAAUACCGUAUGGUGUCUUCGGACUAAAGAUUUAUCGCCAAAGGAUCGGCCCGCGUUGGAUUAGGUAGUUGGUGGGGUAAUGGCCUACCAAGCCGACGAUCCAUAGCUGGUUUGAGAGGAUGAUCAGCCACACUGGGACUGAGACACGGCCCAGACUCCUACGGGAGGCAGCAGUGGGGAAUCUUAGACAAUGGGGGCAACCCUGAUCUAGCCAUGCCGCGUGAGUGAUGAAGGCCCUAGGGUUGUAAAGCUCUUUCAGCUGGGAAGAUAAUGACGGUACCAGCAGAAGAAGCCCCGGCUAACUCCGUGCCAGCAGCCGCGGUAAUACGGAGGGGGCUAGCGUUGUUCGGAAUUACUGGGCGUAAAGCGCGCGUAGGCGGACUGGAAAGUUGGGGGUGAAAUCCCGGGGCUCAACCUCGGAACUGCCUUCAAAACUAUCAGUCUGGAGUUCGAGAGAGGUGAGUGGAAUUCCGAGUGUAGAGGUGAAAUUCGU